UACGUAGGGGGCAAGCGUUGUCCGGAUUCAUUGGGCGUAAAGCGCGUGUAGGCGGCCAGGUAGGUCCGGUGUGAAAACUCGAGGCUCAACCUCGAGAGGUCAUCGGAAACCAUCUGGCUAGAGUCCGGAAGAGGAGAGUGGAAUUCCCGGUGUAGCGGUGAAAUGCGCAGAUAUCGGGAAGAACACCUAUGGCGAAGGCAGCUCUCUGGGACGGUACUGACGCUGAGACGCGAAAGCGUGGGGAGCGAACAGG
rnacentral:rRNA from 1 species